rnacentral:rRNA from 1 species
AGUGAACGCUGGCGGCAGGCCUAACACAUGCAAUUCGAACGGCAGCACAGAGGAGCUUGCUCCUUGGGUGGCGAGUGGCGGACGGGUGAGGAAUACGUCGGAAUCUGCCUAUUUGUGGGGGAUAACGUAGGGAAACUUACGCUAAUACCGCAUACGACCUACGGGUGAAAGUGGGGGACCGCAAGGCCUCACGCAGAUAGAUGAGCCGACGUCGGAUUAGCUAGUUGGCGGGGUAAAGGCCCACCAAGGCGACGAUCCGUAGCUGGUCUGAGAGGAUGGUCAGCCACACUGGAACUGAGACACGGUCCAGACUCCUACGGGAGGCAGCAGUGGGGAAUAUUGGACAAUGGGCGCAAGCCUGAUCCAGCCAUGCCGCGUGUGUGAAGAAGGCCUUCGGGUUGUAAAGCACUUUUGUCCGGAAAGAAAAGCUUAGGGUUAAUAACCCUGAGCCAUGACGGUACCGGAAGAAUAAGCACCGGCUAACUUCGUGCCAGCAGCCGCGGUAAUACGAAGGGUGCAAGCGUUACUCGGAAUUACUGGGCGUAAAGCGUGCGUAGGUGGUUUGUUAAGUCUGAUGUGAAAGCCCUGGGCUCAACCUGGGAAUGGCAUUGGAAACUGGCUUACUAGAGUGCGGUAGAGGGUAGCGGAAUUCCCGGUGUAGCAGUGAAAUGCGUAGAUAUCGGGAGGAACAUCCGUGGCGAAGGCGGCUACCUGGACCAGCACUGACACUGAGGCACGAAAGCGUGGGGAGCAAACAGGAUUAGAUACCCUGGUAGUCCAUGCCCUAAACGAUGCGAACUGGAUGUUGGGGGCAACUUGGCCCUCAGUAUCGAAGCUAACGCGUUAAGUUCGCCGCCUGGGAAGUACGGUCGCAAGACUGAAACUCAAAGGAAUUGACGGGGGCCCGCACAAGCGGUGGAGUAUGUGGUUUAAUUCGAUGCAACGCGCAGAACCUUACCUGGCCUUGACAUGCCGAGAAC